CAAAACUGUAAGGUUAGAGUUUGAAGAGUUACCAAAAAAAAGAUAGCGCUACUCUCUCUUUCUCUCUGGCACCAUUAUCGAGGCUCCUCCGCUGAUUAAUUUUUCCGACGCCGGUGAAGCUUUUGCUUGCCGGCGUCGGGAUUCCAGCUUCCUUUCACCGCUGCUUCACAUCUUUUCUUUCUUUGUUUGUUCUCCUUUGAAAUCAUUCUCCAUCAUUUUUUCUCUGUUUAACCUCUAUCAAACCUCUUUAAACGUUUUGUACCACCUCACUUCGCUUCUCAGCCGAUCUUCAUCAUCAAGUGAAGAAGAAAAGAUGAGUUAUCUGGCAAAUCCUUAUCUCCAUUUCUUCCUCGUAGCCCUCGCUUCAGAUCUGAACCCUUGGAGCUUUGUCUCAGUUUCGGAUCACGGCCAGCGACUGUUCCCGCCGAUCUUCCAAUCACCGGAGAUGUUGCAGUCACCGCAAUUGUCUUCGCAAGCUUCAGAUUGCCGCCUCUCCCCUUUCCUGUCUUGGCAUUCCAAAGAGAAACUAGGGUUUUUCCCAGUGGACCUACUUUCUUCUUUUGGCCCAACCCUAUUUAGAAGGCCCAAGCCCAUCAAUUGGAUUAACUAUCUUAAGACAAAAAAAUUCAGUUGUAUUUAGGGGCUUAUGGUAUGUUUACAAAGGCUUGAAGAACCUUGAUCGAAAUAUCUCGAACCGAUUGUGCCGAAGUGUUUUUUGUGGCUUUCGACCACUUGUGCUUAUCGACCAUUAUGCUCCAAUUAGCUCAUCGAGCGUCGCUCUCAAGCAGCGUACCUUCACCAUCAUCUCCAUCAUCAAGUUCCUAAACGUUAAAGUUCUUAUUGCAUUUUAUUGGAGAUGUCUAAACCUUUCGCUUUGGGUUUCAAAGCUAUCAUCAAUCGACUAUAGCACCAUAGUCUCCCGAAUCCUUGUUAUUGUGCUACCUUGGUUAGUGCAGCUCUCUAUGUUGAGAAACUUAUCAUUGAUUCCUUCGUUAACGUCUCAGGGUCCUAUGACCAUGACUAAUCUGGCGUCCUUCGAAUCCUUCGAGGAUGCUUUCUCGAUUCACCGUGAUCUCACUUGUUUCAAUGCGCUUCCAAGCUAUGGUUUCAAAGCUCUCAUGGAUUUAAAAUCGAUGUAUCGUAUCUUUCAUUUUAUGACAUUGGGGAAUGUUAGUGUCUUAAACUUUGGUUUUCUUGAACCUCUCUUUUUGUAUUUGCUUUUGUGAUGGAAUGAAUACAAAUUGUUUGACAAAAAAAAAAUGAGUUUUAAGAGUUAG
rnacentral:lncRNA from 1 species